ACCCGCUGAACUUAAGCAUAUCAAUAAGCGGAGGAAAAGAAACUAACAAGGAUUCCCCUAGUAACUGCGAGUGAAGCGGGAAAAGCUCAAAUUUGAAAUCUGGCGGUUCUCGACUGUCCGAGUUGUAAUCUAGAGAAGUGUUACCUGUGCUGGACCGUGUACAAGUCUUCUGGAAUGGAGCAUCAUAGAGGGUGAGAAUCCCGUCUUUGACACGGACUACCUGUACAUUAUGGUGUGCUCUCAAAGAGUCGAGUUGUUUGGGAAUGCAGCUCAAAAUGGGUGGUAAAUGCCAUCUAAAGCUAAAUAUUGGCGAGAGACCGAUAGCGAACAAGUACCGUGAGGGAAAGAUGAAAAGAACUUUGGAAAGAGAGUUAAACAGUACGUGAAAUUGCUGAAAGGGAAACGCUUGAAGUCAGUCGCGUUGGCUUGAAAUCAGCCUUAGCUUUUGCUUGGUGUACUUUCUUGUUGACGGGUCAGCAUCAAUUUUGACCACUGGAUAAAGUCUUUGGGAAUGUGACAUCUUCGGAUGUGUUAUAGCCCAUCGUCGCAUACAGUGGUUGGGAUUGAGGAACUCAGCACGGCCGCAAGGCUUCGGGUUUCGACCACGUUCGUGCUUAGGAUGCUGGCAUAAUGGCUUUAAUCGACCCGUCUUGAAACACGGACCAAGGAGUCUAACAUGCCUGCGAGUGUUUGGGUGGAAAACCCAUGCGCGCAAUGAAAGUGAAAGUUGAGAUCCCUSUCAAAGGGGAGCAUUGACGCCCGGACCAGACCUUCUGUGACGGAUCCGCGGUAGAGCAUGUAUGUUGGGACCCGAAAGAUGGUGAACUAUGCCUGAAUAGGGUGAAGCCAGAGGAAACUCUGGUGGAGGCUCGUAGCGAUUCUGACGUGCAAAUCGAUCGUCAAAUUUGGGUAUAGGGGCGAAAGACUAAUCGAACC
rnacentral:rRNA from 1 species